ACGGAAGGCAGCAGUGGGGAAUAUUGCACAAUGGGGGAAACCCUGAUGCAGCGACGCCGCGUGAGUGAAGAAGUUAUUCGUAAUGUAAAGCUCUAUCAGCAGGGAAGAAAAUGACGGUACCUGACUAAGAAGCCCCGGCUAACUACGUGCCAGCAGCCGCGGUAAUACGUAGGGGGCAAGCGUUAUCCGGAUUUACUGGGUGUAAAGGGAGCGUAGACGGUCUGGCAAGUCUGAUGUGAAAGGCAGGGGCUCAACUCCUGGACUGCAUUGGAAACUGUCAGUCUUGAGUGUAGGAGAGGUAAGCGGAAUUCCUAGUGUAGCGGUGAAAUGCGUAGAUAUUAGGAGGAACACCAGUGGCGAAGGCGGCUUACUGGACGAUAACUGACGUUGAGGCUCGAAAGCGUGGGGAGCAAACAGGAUUAGAUACCCUGGUA
rnacentral:rRNA from 2 species